rnacentral:rRNA from 1 species
UACGUAGGGUGCAAGCGUUGUCCGGAAUUAUUGGGCGUAAAGAGCUCGUAGGCGGUCUGUCGCGUCUGCUGUGAAAUCUCAGGGCUUAACCCUGAGCUUGCAGUGGGUACGGGCAGACUAGAGUGCGGUAGGGGAGACUGGAAUUCCUGGUGUAGCGGUGAAAUGCGCAGAUAUCAGGAGGAACACCGGUGGCGAAGGCGGGUCUCUGGGCCGAAAUUGACGCUGAGGAGCGAAAGCGUGGGGAGCAAACAGG